AGAGUUUGAUCCUGGCUCAGGAUGAACGCUAGCGGCAGGCCUAAUACAUGCAAGUCGAACGGUAAGGCCCCCUCCGGGGGGUCGAGAGUGGCGGACGGGUGCGUAACGCGUAUGCAACCCACCCCCGACGGGCGCACAGCCGGUGGAAACGCCGGGUAAUGCGCCAUGCGGCCCUUGGGGGGCAUCCCCUUGGGGCCAAGGCGGCGACGCGGUCGGGGACGGGCAUGCGUCCCAUUAGAUAGUUGGCGGGGCGACGGCCCACCAAGUCGACGAUGGCUAGGGGAUCUGAGAGGACGGUCCCCCACACUGGUACUGAGACACGGACCAGACUCCUACGGGAGGCAGCAGUGAGGAAUAUUGGUCAAUGGGCGUGAGCCUGAACCAGCCAAGUAGCGUGCAGGAAGACGGCCCUAUGGGUUGUAAACCCCUUUUGCGCGGGGAUAAACCGGCGGACGCGUCCGCCGCUGCAGGUACCGCGCGAAUAAGGACCGGCUAAUUCCGUGCC
rnacentral:rRNA from 1 species